UCCAUUCAACUAAGGUUAUAACCUAGGUUUCACAUUCCUAACGUUUAUAACAUACAGCUUUGAUACCAACCUGUGGCGACCCCAAAUCCGGAUACUUGAAACCCGAACUCGGUUCUCCACGAUACCAUUUCUUUAAGCUGAAUAAUACUAAAUAAUAAUAUAAUUUGAACUUAAUUUACAUACAUCAAAGUUUACUUUUCCCAGGUACAUGACCUUCAAAAUACAUUCCUUACAAUACCUGACAAUAGAUUCCAUUGUCUUACUAACUAUAACCAUUAACUCAUACUAAUUCUCAUUCGAACAACUUUUCUUUCCCUUUAUGCGUGCCUGAACCUUCAGGUUGCUCAUACGUAACAGAAAAUAUUUAAUUUAAGCAAGGAUAAGCAUUUGAGUUCCCAGCAAGUAAUAUCAAUUAUAUAUAUAUAAGCUGAAGGAAUAUAAGUAUUCUCUUUACAUAACACUUCAACAACGAAUCGAAAGUUGUGAAGUAAUCUGUACUGAUAAAAAGUUCACAUAACAACUCUCUUCCAAAUUAUUUAAAUUUGGCUCUUGCUCUACCCAUAAAUAGGGUUUAAGAAACAUACUAUGAAC
rnacentral:lncRNA from 1 species